CUGCCCCUAGUAUCAGUUUUCUAGACAUUUUAUAUACACAGAUUGUUCUGUGUGGUGAGGUAGGAAUUCAUUUAAAUGCUCUUUUGCUCUGUCAGGCAGUUGCACAAGCAGAAUUUCAGAAGGCAGUCACGUGUGUUCAGCGGUGCAAAGAUAUCCUGUUCCGACUGCCAAAGGAGGUUAGUAACAGAUUGUGCACAGAUUUUAAUAUUAUGUAAAAUUCUACUAUUUUGUAUCCAUCUUCUACUUUAACAUGGCAAUUCAAGAAUAUGAUAUAAAUUACUUUGUGUUUAAUUACAGGCCUGCUACCUUUCCUUGCUAUGUUAUAAUUUUGGUGUAGAAACCUAUGAACUGAAAAGAUAUGAGCAGAGUUCCUUUUGGCUGAGUCAGAGCUAUGAAAUUGGAAAGAUGGAUAAGAUGUAUUCAACUGGACAUGAAAUGCAGGCUAAAGUGCUGCGGUUAUUGGCUACUGUGUAUUUGGACUGGGACUACAAACAAUAUCAAGAGAAAGCUCUCAGAGCAGUUACCUUGGCUAAUGAGGUGAUGGAGCUCUACACACAUUUGAAAAACAUGGAGUAUCCAAUGUGUUUGUGCUUUAACUGUGACUGCAUCUACUCAGGGAGGUAUAGGAUGCUCCUCUCCAAAAAGAUGUGGGGUUUCCUGCAGCAGCACCUAGCCCUGGGGGUGCAUUUUGGGCUCAAUGAUACCCUCCCAGUCAGCGUUUGAAAGAGAUACAUGUCUAAUGCAAAAUGACCUUUCUUCUUUAUCCACUACGCCCACUAUAGCUCCUCAGUAGAAAAGAGGCCUUUUUCUUCCUUUUGUUCCCUCUCAAAAUCUACCAGAACUGUGAAGCAGUACUAUNGUGGGAUUAGAGGACAAAAGGAUGUUCAUAGGAACUUCUCCUAUUUAGUAGUAUAAAUUAUCAAUCAGACUCAAUUGGGAUUAGUAAACAGAUUAAAACAUUUAUUGAGAAAAACCCAAGGUUUUCUUGAUCUCNUUGCUAUCAGAUUUAAGACCUCAAGAUAUAGGGCUAAAUUAAAUAAAUAAUAAAUAAAUAAAGCCUGAAGUAAGUUC
rnacentral:lncRNA from 1 species